rnacentral:rRNA from 1 species
GUAGCUUGCUAUGAGAACGGUUAGUGGCAGACGGGUGAGUAAUGCAUAGGAAUCUACCUAGUAGUAUGGGAUAGCCACUAGAAAUGGUGGGUAAUACUGUAUAAUCCCUGCGGGGGAAAGAUUUAUCGCUAUUAGAUGAGCCUAUGUUAGAUUAGCUAGUUGGUAGGGUAAAGGCCUACCAAGGCAGUGAUCUAUAGCUGGUCUGAGAGGAUGAUCAGCCACACUGGAACUGAGAUACGGUCCAGACUCCUACGGGAGGCAGCAGUGGGGAAUAUUGGACAAUGGGCGCAAGCCUGAUCCAGCUAUGCCGCGUGAGUGAGGAAGGCCUUAGGGUUGUAAAACUCUUUCAGUGGGGAAGAUAAUGACGGUACCCACAGAAGAAGUCCCGGCAAACUCCGUGCCAGCAGCCGCGGUAAUACGGAGGGGGCAAGCGUUGUUCGGAAUUAUUGGGCGUAAAGGGCAUGUAGGCGGUUCGGUAAGUUAAAGGUGAAAUGCCAGGGCUUAACCCUGGAGCUGCUUUUAAUACUGC